UACGUAGGGGGCAAGCGUUGUCCGGAUUUAUUGGGCGUAAAGAGCGUGUAGGCGGCCAGACAGGUCAGCUGUGAAAACUCGAGGCUCAACCUCGAGACGUCGGUUGAAACCGUCUGGCUAGAGUCCGGAAGAGGAGAGUGGAAUUCCCGGUGUAGCGGUGAAAUGCGCAGAUAUCGCUCGGAACUCCGGUGGCGAAGGCGAGGUGCUGGACCCUUUCUGACGCUGAGGCGCGAAAGCCAGGGGAGCAAACGGG
rnacentral:rRNA from 1 species